AUGAGUUUUUGCAUGGGAAGAGAGGUUUACUCUUCUGCUCCAGGCUUAGCUUGCGUUGCACCUCCAGGAGACCUCAUUGAGACCUGCUGCACCGUCUGUGCGCAAACACCCCCUCUUUUGGGGGAGGCUGAUCCGGCCCAGCCGCAUGAUCGCAGUCAGGUGACGACAUUGAGCACAGAGCGGUGCGGGAUAAGCAGCUCAGUGAGGGAGAUCAGCUGCUGUCCCGGCCCCUCUGCGAGCUGUUCGUGCUCAGGGAAAAUGAGCACCUGGCCCUCUCCUCUGCUCUGGAGCUUGACCACGGCAUGUCUGACAGGUAUUGCUUUAGGCCAGACAGCCACCACCCAGGCCCCUGUUGCAUCAACCCCGCUACUUCUGAGUGCAGCUACCACCCAAGUCCCUGUUCCACCAAUCCCUAUUGCCACUGCAACCUCGGCUCCCACAUCCCCAUCUGCUGCUGGGAUGCUCUCAGCAACAACAGUGACAAAUCUCACCACCCCUACAGUUGUGCCAUCUGCUUUCUCAAGCACAAACCCUCCCACUCCAGCUCUGCCCACCACCCCACGCAUCGCCGUGCUCACCUCUGGGACUGCAACCACCCCUCAUGCACCCACAGCACUAAUGGCCACAUCCAGCAGUGCCUGGGCUAGCCCUCCAGAUGUAACUGCAUCUCCUGGGGUCCCAUCAGCGAUCCCACCUCUCAGCACCACCAAGCCCUCAAACUGCAGCAGAGUGAAUGUGACAGCAUGUACUCCUUGCUCCCCAGGGACCAUUCCCAGCAAUGACAGCUGGAGCUGCUCGUGCUGCACAGAGGGCUCGUGUGUGGACCCUGGUGCCUGUGCUCCUUGCCCGGCGGGGCACUACCAGCCUGUGAGGGGACAGCAGCAGUGCCUGCCGUGUCCAAAGGGACGUUACACCAACACUACCAACAGCACCGUGUGCUCACCCUGCCCACCUGGCCACUAUGCCAACGAGUCGGGGGCCACAGCCUGCAGCGCGUGCCAGAAAGGUUAUUUUAGCUCACAGCAAAAUGCAGCUUUUUGUCUGCCUUGCCUGCCCGGAUCGUUCUGCAACACCACCAGCUGCACUCUGUGUCUGGCCUGUCCUGCUGGGCGUGAGGCUCCACAUGAGGCUGCUGAGGGGUGUACGCCGUGCCGGGCAGGUACGUUCAAAGGUCUGAGUGAUGACGCCUGUAAGCCCUGUGAGCCAGGGGAAUACCAACUGCAGUGGGGUCAGGAGAGCUGUGACCUGUGCCCAGAGAAUCACUACUGCCCCAGCCCAGAUGUGAACCCUAUCAAGUGCCCUCCUGAUGCCUUCUGCCCCGUGGGCAGCACCGCACCCCAGUACUGCAUGGAGGUCUUCCUGUACAAGGUGGGCAGCUCCUGCCAGCUGACGCCACUGGUGAUAGUCCUCCUGGCCCUCUUCUCAGCAGGUGCAAUUCUUAUAAUCUUUGUACUAAUUCUGAGAAGAAGGCAAGAAUACAGCACAAAGUCUUUGAAGUCCCUGUUGCUACCACGAGGAUCAGAGCAGCACACAACGUAUGGAGUGAUGGAGCACACAGAGCCCGUGUAUGCUGGCUGGUAGUGGGGGAAAUGCUAUCUGCAAGCACUGUGUUCCCUUUUCUGUAGGGUAAUGCACCUGUGUGCAUAUAUGAAAAAUGCUUGACCAUCACUAACCUAUUUCUGUAUAGAUAAAAUAACUACAGAGAUAUAAAAUGCAAAUCAUUUUUCAGCUGUGACUUUUUGUGCUAACCAACCUAGCUGGAUGCUGUUCUACAUGAAAUGGACUGAACAGCAGAAACUUCCCCUUUAAUUCCUAGCUCCACUCGCAAUAAAUAUUUUUUUUCCUUUCCUUAAGAAAUUUUA
rnacentral:lncRNA from 1 species